CUCCCAUGUAAUUGCAGAGUUAUAAUGCUCAUUUGGAAGGUUUUAAAGAAGCACGGGUGGAACUCCUUUCAGCAAUGAAUUUGAGUCUAGAUGGAGAAUGAGAAAAGGUAGCACACAAAGUGACUUGCUAAUGCACAACAGCCUCAAGGAAGCUAAAAGUUUGAGAAUCAGCUUAGAAGUUUCUAUGUGAAGAGAAAACAGGAAGUCAUUCCAGCAGCAGCCGCCUCUGCUCCACUCUUCGUCUUGCUCACACUCCAUGCUGCCAAAUGGAAACUAAGGUGUUCAGGGAAUGGGGCAUACUUCCACAAAUUCCAUUUUAAAAUGGAUUGAUCAAGAAGUCCUUCCUCGGGUUAACCCUUACAUGGUGUUAAGAAGAAUUUCACCAAGUGGAUCUCAUUAUUGCAGACCCAUUGAGAUUGGAAGCUUCCUUCCACAAAGGAGCAAUGCACUGUUAUGUGAAGACUGGUGGAUCUCUAGUCGGCUGCAGCUGAGAUACAGAAAGCAUGGUAAUAAGUGCAUAAUAGAUCAGCAAUUGGAAAUACUUCUUUCUUGACGUUAUACACCGUGUGUGUGUGUGUGUGUGUGUGUGUGUGUGUGUGUGUGUGUGUGUGUGUGUGUGUCUAUAUGUGGUGUGUGUGUGUUUGUGUGUGUGUAUUUAUAUUCAAUGUUCAUCUACUAAGGACAAGUUAACUG
rnacentral:lncRNA from 1 species